GAUCCUGGCUCAGGAUGAACGCUAGCUACAGGCUUAACACGUGCAAGUCGAGGGGCAGCAUGAACUUAGCUUGCUAAGUUUGAUGGCGACCGGCGCACGGGUGAGUAACACGUAUCCAACCUUCCGUUUACUCAGGGAUAGCCUUUCGAAAGAAAGAUUAAUACCUGAUAGUAUGGUGAGAUUGCAUGAUAGCACCAUUAAAGAUUUAUUGGUAAACGAUGGGGAUGCGUUCCAUUAGGUGG
rnacentral:rRNA from 1 species